rnacentral:rRNA from 1 species
AGGGAAUCUUCCGCAAUGGGCGAAAGCCUGACGGAGCAACGCCGCGUGAGUGAUGAAGGUUUUCGGAUCGUAAAGCUCUGUUGCCAGGGAAGAACGUCUUCUGGAGUAACUGCCAGGAGAGUGACGGUACCUGAGAAGAAAGCCCCGGCUAACUACGUGCCAGCAGCCUCGGUAAUACGUAGGGGGCAAGCGUUGUCCGGAAUUAUUGGGCGUAAAGCGCGCGCAGGCGGCUGUUUAAGUCUGGUGUUUAAUCCUGGGGCUCAACCCCGGGUCGCACUGGAAACUGGACGGCUUGAGUGCAGAAGAGGAGAGUGGAAUUCCACGUGUAGCGGUGAAAUGCGUAGAGAUGUGGAGGAACACCAGUGGCGAAGGCGACUCUCUGGGCUGUAACUGACGCUGAGGCGCGAAAGCGUGGGGAGCAAAC